rnacentral:rRNA from 1 species
AGUGAACGCUGGCGGUAGGCCUAACACAUGCAAGUCGAACGGCAGCACAGUAAGAGCUUGCUCUUACGGGUGGCGAGUGGCGGACGGGUGAGGAAUACAUCGGAAUCUACUUUUUCGUGGGGGAUAACGUAGGGAAACUUACGCUAAUACCGCAUACGACCUACGGGUGAAAGUAGUGGAUCUUCGGACCUUGCGCGAUUGAAUGAGCCGAUGUCGGAUUAGCUAGUUGGCGGGGUAAAGGCCCACCAAGGCGACGAUCCGUAGCUGGUCUGAGAGGAUGAUCGCCCACACUGGAACUGAGACGCGGUCCAGACGACUACGGGAGGCAGCAGUGGGGAAUAUUGGACAGUGGGCGCAAGCCUGGUCCAGCCAUACCGCGUGGGUGAAGAAGGCCUUCGGGUUGUAAAGCCCUUUUGUUGGGAAAGAAAAGCAGCAGGUUAAUACCCCGCUGUUCUGACGGUACCCAAAGAAUAAGCACCGGCUAACUUCGUG